UGGUGGGUAGUUUGACUGGGGCGGUCUCCUCCCAAAGCGUAACGGAGGAGCACGAAGGUGGGCUAAUCACGGUUGGACAUCGUGAGGUUAGUGCAAUGGCAUAAGCCCGCUUGACUGCGAGAAUGACAAUUCGAGCAGGUGCGAAAGCAGGUCAUAGUGAUCCGGUGGUUCUGAAUGGAAGGGCCAUCGCUCAACGGAUAAAAGGUACUCCGGGGAUAACAGGCUGAUACCGCCCAAGAGUUCAUAUCGACGGCGGUGUUUGGCACCUCGAUGUCGGCUCAUCACAUCCUGGGGCUGAAGUCGGUCCCAAGGGUAUGGCUGUUCGCCAUUUAAAGUGGUACGCGAGCUGGGUUUAGAACGUCGUGAGACAGUUCGGUCCCUAUCUGCCGUGGGCGUUGGAGAAUUGAAAGGGGCUGCUCCUAGUACGAGAGGACCGGAGUGGACGAACCUCUGGUGUUCGGGUUGUGUCGCCAGAC
rnacentral:rRNA from 1 species